rnacentral:rRNA from 1 species
UAGUCCACGCAGUAAACGAUGCACACUAGGCGUUGGAGGAUAUUGACCCCUUCAGUGCCGUAGCUUACGCGUUAAGUGUGCCGCCUGGGGAGUACGGCCGCAAGGCUAAAACUCAAAGGAAUUGACGGGGACCCGCACAAGCGGUGGAGCAUGUGGUUUAAUUCGACGCAACGCGAAGAACCUUACCUGGAUAAGACGCCAACUGCGAUCUUUGGAAACAUUGAGUUCUACUUCGGUAGACGGUUGGACAGGUGCUGCAUGGCUGUCGUCAGCUCGUGUCGUGAGAUGUUGGGUUAAGUCCCGCAACGAGCGCAACCCUUGUCUUCUGUUACCAGCAUUAAGUUGGGGACUCUGAAGAGACUGCCGGUGUUAAACCGGAGGAAGGUGGGGAUGACGUCAAGUCCUCAUGGCCCUUGAUAUCCAGGGCUACACACGUGCUACAAUGGGUGAUACAAAGGGAUGCAAAACCGUAAGGUCGAGCGAAUCUCAAAAAAUCAAUCCUCAGUUCGGAUUG